AGUUUUCUUUAUUGGGGUUGCGGACAUAUCAUAACGAAGAGAUAUCGUAAUUGAAGAGGUUUGGAAAGACCCACCACAGAAGGUAAUAGUCCUGUAUGUUAAACGAGAAGACUUUAGAUAUGAUCCAGAGUACCACGGGACACGUGAAACCCUGUGGGAAGCAGGAGGGACCACCCUCCAAGGCUAAAUACUACCUAGUGACCGAUAGCGUAUAGUACCG
rnacentral:rRNA from 1 species